rnacentral:rRNA from 1 species
GAUGAACGCUGGCGGCGUGCCUAAUACAUGCAAGUCGAGCGAACAGACGAGGAUCUUGCUCCUCUGACGUUAGCGGCGGACGGGUGAGUAACACGUGGAUAACCUACCUAUAAGACUGGGAUAACUUCGGGAAACCGGAUCUAAUACCGGAUAAUAUAUUGAACCGCAUGGUUCAAUAGUGAAAGACGGUUUUGCUGUCACUUAUAGAUGGAUCCGCGCCGCAUUAGGUGGUUGGGACGGUAACGGGUUACGAAGGCGAGGAUGCGUAGCCGAACUGAGUGGGUGGUCGGCCACAUUGGAGCUGGAACACGGUCCAGACGCCUACGGGAGGCAGCAGUAGGGAAUCUGCCGCAAUGGGCGAAAGCCUGGCGGAGCAACGCCGCGUGAGUGAUGAAGGUCUUGGGAUCGGAAAACUCUGUUAUUAGGGAAGAACAAAUGUGGAAGUAACUAUGCACGUCUUGACGGUACCUAAUCAGAAAGCCACGGCUAACUACGUG